AAGACUAUACUUUCAGGGAUCAUUUCUAUAGUUUGUUACUAGAGAAGUUUCUCUGAACGUGUAGAGCACCCGAAACCACGAGGAGGAGGUAGGACGUCCUCUUCUGAGCGUGAAGUAGGCAUUUGGUGUUUCCGUGCGGAACUGCCAUUUGCCGUUGAUGAUCGUUCUUCUCUUCUUUUGGAAGAGUGAGAGGAAGAGGACGUUGUCUGAGUGGU
rfam:Pteropus alecto contig40507, whole genome shotgun sequence.